GAUCGCACAAGUGGCUGCAACCAGGCUCUAGGAGGGAGAAAGAGCGGAUCCCCCAACCCCCUCCGCCCGCCCGCCCCCCGCGAGACGCGGCGCCGCGCAGGGUCCUAGUGCCCGCUGUGCGAAGGGUUCCUGAAUCUGGCCACUUCGCUGGGAGGCCCUGGGCUCCCCAGUGCCACCCGAAGGGCCUGAGGAGGCCAUCUGCAGGAUCAUUCUGGCUGCUGGGCGAAGGUUCAACUAAAGAAUGGCAAGAGUAGAAGCUGGAAAUCUAAUUAGGAGGCUCCUGCAGACCCCAAGCUGGGGGGUGAUGACAGCCAGACUAGAGUGGUGGCAGUUGUCUGAUUCCAGUUAGGUUUUGAAAGUGAAACCAUCAGGACCCACUGAUGGAUCGGAUGUGACACGUGACCAUAAGAGUGAAGUCAAGGAGAAAUCCUGGCAAUUCACACACUGCUGGUGGGAGUGUAGUUAGGCAAAAACUACUUUGGGAAACUAUU
rnacentral:lncRNA from 1 species